rnacentral:rRNA from 1 species
UACGGGGGGGGCAAGCGUUGUUCGGAAUUACUGGGCGUAAAGCGCGCGCAGGCGGCUAUCCAAGUCAGUGGUGAAAGCCCGGAGCUCAACUCCGGAACUGCCAUUGAAACUGUUUAGCUUGAGGACGAGAGAGGUGAGUGGAAUUCCCAGUGUAGAGGUGAAAUUCGUAGAUAUUGGGAAGAACACCGGUGGCGAAGGCGGCUCACUGGCUCGUAUCUGACGCUCAGGCGCGACAGCGUGGGGAUCAAACAGG